GCGGGUGUGUUGUAAUUGGUAGCCAAGCGGGACUUAGGAUCCCGUGCCGCAAGGCGUAAGGGUUCGAGCCCCUUCACCCGCACCA
rnacentral:tRNA from 2 species